GAUGAACGCUGGCGGCGUGCCUAAUACAUGCAAGUCGAGCGAAGCGGGGACGGGUGAGUAACACGUGGAUAACCUCCUAUAAGACUGGGAUACCUUCGGGAAACCGGAGCUAAACCGGAAACUUAUAGAUGGAUCCGAGCUGCAUUAGCUAGUUGGUAAGGUAACGGCGUACCAAGGCAACGCUCCAGAGCCGACCUGAGAGUGGGAUCAGCCACACGGGAACUGAGACACGGUCCAGACUCCGACGGUAGGCAGCAGUGGGGAAUCUUCCGCAAUGGGCGAAAGCCUGACGGAGCAACGCCGCGUGAGUGAUGAAGGUCUUCGGAUUGUAAAACACUGUUAUUAGGGAAGCGGUACCUAAUGAGAAAGCCACGGCUAACUACGUGCCAGCAGCCGCGGUAAUUC
rnacentral:rRNA from 1 species